rnacentral:rRNA from 2 species
AGUGAAGCGGGAUGAGCUCAAAUUUAAAAUCUGGCUGGUUUACUAGUCCGAAUUGUAGUUUAUAGAAGCGUUUUCGGUGGCAGCCUGGGUAUAAAUCCUUUGGAAUAGGGUAUCAUAGAGGGUGAGAAUCCCGUCUUUGACUCAGUGCAUGCUACUAUGUGAUACGUUUUCAAAGAGUCGAGUUGUUUGGGAAUGCAGCUCAAAAUGGGUGGUAAAUUUCAUCUAAGGCUAAAUAUUGGCGAGAGACCGAUAGCGAACAAGUACCGUGAGGGAAAGAUGAAAAGAACUUUGAAAAGAGAGUUAAACAGUGCGUGAAAUUGUUGAAAGGGAAACGUUUGACACCAGUUAUGCGGGUGGAAAAUCAGUCUUUUGCAAUGGGGAGUUGUGGGCGUUCAGACCGCAAGGCUGGCGUUUGCUUCAUCUUUGUUGUAAGUGAUGCACUUUUUCAUUUGCAGGUCAACAUCAGUUUGCUUUGCUGGACAAAACCCCAAGGGAAGGUGGCAGCUUAGGCUGUGUUAUAGCCCUGGGGCGAUACAGUGGAGUGGACUGAGGUUUCGCAGUGUGUGCUCUCGGGCAAGGCUGACUGGGUGCUAUGGGAUCGUUCGGCGUACAAUGCAUGCAUUUUGCGUCGUGUCUUUUUCAUACUCGCUCAACUCGGCUCUUCCACGCUUAGGAUGUUGACUUAAUGGUUUUAAACGACCCGUCUUGA